UUAUGUUAAUUUCUGUGAAAGUUGAAGUAGAAUAACCAUUCCAGAUCUUGGCGUACAGGCUUGCUUCUUAUAUGAUCAGCCUAAGACUUUUCUUCCUUUAAUGUGUUCAUUUGUCUCCUGCACAUCCUUGCACUUGAUUUGGUUAAUACUUUGAAGUUUUGAAUUUAUUUUCUGAAAAAUUAAAUUUAUGUUGCAGCGCCACCAGCACAUCGUUUGCACAGCCUUCUGGGAUUCCAUUAGCUUUUGAAAUGCAUGAGUUACUUGUUGCUGAUAGUGAAAGUAGUUCCAUUCGAGUUGUUAAUCUGAAGACAGGAGGCUCAAGAUUGCUGGCUGGAGGAGAUCCAGUAUUUCCAGAAAAUUUGUUUAGGUUUGGAGAUUAUGACGGGACUGGCUCAGAUGUGCUACUUCAACAUCCCUUGGGUGUUGUUUAUGCCAAUGACAAUCAAGUAUAUAUAGCUGAUUCCUACAACCAUAAG